GGCUUCAUGGUCUAGUGGUAUGAUUCUUGCUUUGGGCUACCUCCUCAUCUGCAAGAGGCCCCGCGUUCGAAUCGCGGUGGAGCCC
rnacentral:tRNA from 1 species